UUCUUUCUCUCUCAAAAUCUCCCUUUCAUAAAUCUUUUCCCAUAUCUCAAUCUAUAUUCUCUCCCCCCCCCCCUCUCUCUCUCUUUCAAAAUUUCCCUAUCACUCUUGCACCACCACCGUGCUACUUCUACACCGCCAUCACGCCACCACUGCCUUGUCUUCUUCGAUCGUGUUUUCAAUCAUCACUCUAUACAACAACGUUAGCCACAUAUAAUGUUGUUUGUCUUCUAUGUCGCAUUUGCGCUCUUGAUGCUUCUGUGAUAUCCUCCAUCUAAGUCUUCAACUUCUCUCUGAAUAUCACAUUUGUGGCCUAAUUUAUGUUAUGCAUAAGUUUGAAAUGUUUGAAGUGACAGAAGUUGUGGUGUCUAUAUGUUAGCCGUCUCUUAGAUAUAAUUGUAGAGAUCAUUUACCAAACUAUAUAGGUAACUCAUGAAAUAGGAAGUUCCUCUAGCUUUUAAAGGAUGUCAUAAGGGUGCUUGCAAACACAGAAGACUAAUGAAGUUGGAAUCAAUCUCGUUUGCUACUGGAUUCUUUCACCCUGCUAGUUAGUCUGCUUUAUGGGGAACCGCCUCGGAAUAACGGCAGGUAGUUGCUCUCAAUGACGAAACAGAUUCCCAAUUCCAUCUCUCGAGAGUAUCAGCACCGUAACUAAAGUGAGAGGCUUAAAAUCACAUAGAAUAAGUGGAAUCUCAUGCAAGUUGAAAUUUCAUUAUUUGAAAUUUCAACUUGGUUCCUACAAAAUUAUGUUGAUGGUAUUCACUGAGAAAUUGACAAAGUAUGAAAUGGUGAAGGCCGUGAAGAUUAGAUGUAGUUUUGCAGUGUUUGCCGCGACUGGUUAGAUUGUAUGCAGUCAACCAGUAACUACCUAAUCCGAAAUAGUGUGACUCUCCAACCAUCGACUGUUGUCUUGGGUAUGAGCCCAACAACUUGAACCCUAAAGGAUACUGAAACUAGUACAAGAGCAAAAGACUUUUUUUUUUUUGAAACGGA